UAAGAAUAUUCCGCAAUGGACGAAAGUCUGACGGAGCGACGCCGCGUGGAUGAAGAAGGCCGCAAGGUUGUAAAAUCCUUUUGCUGGGGAGGAAUAAGUCCAGGAGGGAAUGCCUGGAUGAUGACACGAACCGGCGAAUAAGCCCCGGCCAACUACGUGCCAGCAGCCGCGGUAACACGUAGGGGGCAAGCGUUGCUCGGAAUUACUGGGCGUAAAGGGCAUGUAGGCGGUUUAGUAAGCUUGGCGUGAAAGACCACAGCUCAACUGUGGGGUUGCGUUGAGAACUGCUGAACUUGAGUUACGGAGAGGGAGCUAGAAUUCCUGGUGUAGGGGUGGAAUCUGUAGAGAUCAGGAAGAAUACCGAUGGCGAAGGCGGCUUUCUGGACUGUAACUGACGCUGAGGCACGAAAGCGUGGGGAGCGAACA
rnacentral:rRNA from 1 species